rnacentral:rRNA from 1 species
UAAUACGUAGGGUGCGAGCGUUAAUCGGAAUUACUGGGCGUAAAGCGUGCGCAGGCGGUUAUGUAAGACAGAUGUGAAAUCCCCGGGCUUAACCUGGGAACUGCGUUUGUGACUGCAUAACUUGAGUGUGGCAGAGGGGGGUGGAAUUCCACGUGUAGCAGUGAAAUGCGUAGAGAUGUGGAGGAACACCGAUGGCGAAGGCAGCCCCCUGGGUCAACACUGACGCUCAUGCACGAAAGCGUGGGAGCAAACAGGAUUAGAUACCCUGGUAGUCCACGCCCUAAACGAUGCGAACUAGGUGUUGGGGAAGGAGACUUUCUUAGUACCGCAGCUAACGCGUGAAGUUCGCCGCCUGGGGAGUACGGUCGCAAGAUUAAAACUCAAAGGAAUUGACGGGGACCCGCACAAGCGGUGGAUGAUGUGGAUUAAUUCGAUGCAACGCGAAAAACCUUACCUACCCUUGACAUGCCAGGAAUCCCGCAGAGACGUGGGAGUGCUCGAAAGAGA